CCUACGGGUGGCAGCAGUGAGGAAUAUUGGUCAAUGGGCGCGAGCCUGAACCAGCCAAGUCGCGUGAGGGAUGACGGUCCUACGGAUUGUAAACCUCUUUUGCCGGGGAGCAAGCGUGCGUUCGUGAACGCGCGUCGAGAGUACCCGGAGAAAAAGCAUCGGCUAACUCCGUGCCAGCAGCCGAGGUAAUACGGAGGAUGCGAGCGUUAUCGGGUUUUAUUGGGGUUAAAGGGUGCUUAGGAGGAAUGCCAAGGCAGCGGUAAAAAUGCGGUGCUUAACGACGUCGAGCCGUUGAAACUGGCGUUCUUGAGUUGGCGAGAGGUAUGCGGAAUGCGUGGUGUAGCGGUGAAAUGCGUAGAUAUCACGCAGAACUCCGGUUGCGAAGGCGGCAUACCGGCGCCCUACUGACGGUGAGGCACGAAAGCGUGGGUAUCGAACAGGAUUAGAUACCCGGGUAGUC
rnacentral:rRNA from 1 species